CUCAAGAACAAAAGCGAAUCUCACAACGAACAAAACCCUUCACUCACCAAAAGCGAACGAUCGAUUCGAAACUAUCUCAAUCGAAAUCCCUCACUCGUCCUCUCUGGAACCCAAACUUGAUCGAUCUGAGGACGACCCAGAUAGAAAUUGGAUCCGAUUAUUGGAUCUGAAUCUAAUGGUGUGCGAUUGGAUGAAAUGGGUCACGCUAUUCUUAUUGUUAUCGUUUUGGGAUUUGGUGCUAGGGUUAUUGUGGAUGUGAGGCUGCAUAUGCAUAAACAAGUGCUCCUCUUUUGGAAUCACAUGGAAGAACAGUGUCAUCAUUGAACAUAACAGAUGAAAAUUUGUCUGCCUCCCUUUUGAAGAUUACUGAUCUUGAAAACUCAUUAGUCGUAGCUGAUGAGAAGUACCGAUAUAUGCAAAAGCUCCGAAAUUAUAUCUCAAAUAUAUGUGACUUUUUGCAGAAAAAGGAAGUUCGGCUGGAACCUUAAAUCAUACAUCAUGCCGUAUUAUUAGUCAUGAAGAUUUUGAAGCCGUGGAUUUGAAUGUUCCAAGAGAUGGAAGCUUUUUGUCAAGUUUCUCCUCUUGUUCCAAAAAUGGCCAAUAUGCUUGAAGGAGGAGGCAAAACACCAAUACUCACUCCUCUUGAACUUGAAGACAUUGGUUAUAAAAUUGUUGCAUAUCCCCUUUCCUUGAUUGGGGUUUCUAUUCGAGCAAUGCAGCAGAGUUUCUAUUGUAAUUAUAUUAUCUCACAAUAAUAAGCAUCUGCUACAAGACACACACACAACGGCUACAACCUAACGGUAAUGAUUGUGGAUAUUAUGUAAUGAAGAAUAUGCUUGACAUUGUCACCGCUAGUAUUACAAAGAAUUGGAUGGAGGUGUUCGAUGAUCCCACGUUAUUAACAGAGGAGGAGCUGUAUGAAUUGCGAAACAGCUAGGCAACUUGUUUUCUUGACCUAUAUAAUCCCGAGGUAGAUUAUGAUGUUGCCGAUGAUGAGGCUUAAGAGCUAGCUAGGUUAAUUUGUGUGAUGUUACAAUGAAUUCAUAUUAAUUAUGAUGUUUUGAAUUGUAAUGACAUUUGGUAUUUUGCUUGAAUGUUGAAUUAAUUGUAUGACAUUUUGGAUGAAUGUUGAAAUAUUGUAUGACAUUUGAUAUUUUGGAUGAUGUUGAAUUUUAAUGACAUUUGAUUAUAUAUUAUGUAAUUGUAUUUUGGUUGAA